rnacentral:rRNA from 1 species
UGGGGAAUAUUGGACAAUGGGCGAAAGCCUGAUCCAGCCAUGCCGCGUGUGUGAAGAAGGCCCUUCGGGUUGUAAAGCACUUUCGGACGGAACGAAAUCGCACGGGUGAAUAUCCCGUGUGGAUGACGGUACCGUAAGAAGAAGCACCGGCUAACUACGUGCCAGCAGCCGCGGUAAUACGUAGGGUGCGAGCGUUAAUCGGAAUUACUGGGCGUAAAGUGUGCGCAGGCGGCUUCGCAAGUCGAGUGUGAAAUCCCCGGGCUUAACUUGGGAACGGCGCUCGAAACUACGGAGCUAGAGUAUGGCAGAGGGAGGUGGAAUUCCACGUGUAGCGGUGAAAUGCGUAGAGAUGUGGAGGAACACCAAUGGCGAAGGCAGCCUCCUGGGCCAAUACUGACGCUCAUGCACGAAA